rnacentral:rRNA from 1 species
UACACUCCUACGGGAGGCAGCAGUGGGGAAUAUUGGACAAUGGGCGCAAGCCUGAUCCAGCCAUGCCGCGUGAGUGAUGAAGGCCCUAGGGUUGUAAAGCUCUUUCACCGGUGAAGAUAAUGACGGUAACCGGAGAAGAAGCCCCGGCUAACUUCGUGCCAGCAGCCGCGGUAAUACGAAGGGGGCUAGCGUUGUUCGGAUUUACUGGGCGUAAAGCGCACGUAGGCGGACUAUUAAGUCAGGGGUGAAAUCCCGGGGCUCAACCCCGGAACUGCCUUUGAUACUGGUAGUCUUGAGUUCGAGAGAGGUGAGUGGAAUUCCGAGUGUAGAGGUGAAAUUCGUAGAUAUUCGGAGGAACACCAGUGGCGAAGGCGGCUCACUGGCUCGAUACUGACGCUGAGGUGCGAAAGCGUGGGGAGCAAACAGGAUUAGAAACCCUGGUAGUCCCAU